rnacentral:lncRNA from 1 species
GAAAGCUCGACAUAGGGAUAGUGAUCCGGCGGCGGCUACGGCGGCGGCGGCGGCGGCGGUGUUAGCUCACUUCUUAAAAGCUUUAUAUUUUAGAAGGUGGAAGACCUGGAUGCUUCAUACUUUGUAUAUAGAUGCUUAAUGUUACGAAGUUUCCGUCAGUCACAUGUCCAAUGUCCUUGACCUCAUUUUCAUGGUUCAGUGACCACUUGAAAAAAAAGUUCAAAUUUUUUGUAAUGUUGAAUUAUCUCUUAUUAUAAGUAAUAGGAUAACUAUAUUUGAUAUGUGCAUACCUUGCAAGGUCCUCAUGUCUGUCAGACAGUUUUCACUUGACCUCGACCUCAUUUCAUGGAUCAGUGAACAAGGUUAAGUUUUGGUGGUCAAGUCCAUAUCUCAGAUACUAUAAGCAAUAGGGCUAGUAUAUUCAGUGUAUGGAAGGACUGUAAGGUGUACAUGUCCAACUGGCAGGUGUCAUCUGACCUUGACCUCAUUUUCAUGGUUCAGUGGUUUUAGUUAAAUUUUUGUGUUUUGGUCUGUUUUUCUCAUACUAUAUGCAAUAGGUCUACUAUAUUUGUUGUUUGGAAUGAUUGUAAGGUGUACAUGUCUAGCGGGCAGAUGUCUUGUGACCUUGACCUCAUAUUCAUGGUUCAGUGGUCAAAGUUAAGUUUUUGAGUUUUGGUCUUUUUAUCUAACACUAUAUACCAUAGGUCAACUAUAUUUGGUGUAUGGAAAUAUUUUAUGAUCUUUAUGUCGUUCGUGCAGGUUUUAUUUGACCGUGACCUCAUUUUCACGGUUCAUUGCACAGUGUUAAGUUUUUGUGUUUUGGUCUAUUUUUCUUUAACUUUAAGUAAUGGGUCAACUAUUUAUGUUUUAUAGAAGCAUUGUUAGCUGUAUAUGUCUGCCUGGCAUGGUUUAUCUGACCUUGACCUAAUUUUCAAGGUUCAUUGGUCUUUGUUUAGUUAUCUUGGUUUAAUGUUAAGUUUAUGUGACAGUUGUAAUAAAGCUUAGCUUUAUACUUUGGACUAUCAACAUAAUAUCAAUGAUUAGUAUAGAAGGCGAGACAUUUCAGUGUGUGCACUCUUGUUUAUUUAUUAAUAGUACU